rnacentral:rRNA from 1 species
AACGAACGCUGGCGGCAGGCUUAACACAUGCAAGUCGAGCGCAUCCUUCGGGGUGAGCGGCGGACGGGUGAGUAACGCGUGGGAACGUGCCCUCUUCUACGGAAUAGCCUCGGGAAACUGAGAGUAAUGCCGUAUACGCCCGCAAGGGGAAAGAUUUAUCGGAGGAGGAUCGGCCCGCGUUGGAUUAGGUAGUUGGUGGGGUAACGGCCUACCAAGCCGACGAUCCACAGCUGGGUUGAGAGGAUGAUCAGCCACACUGGGACUGAGACACGGCCCAGACUCCUACGGGAGGCAGCAGUGGGGAAUCUUGGACAAUGGGGGCAACCCUGAUCCAGCCAUGCCGCGUGAUCGAUGAAGGCCUUAGGGUUGUAAAGAUCUUUCAGCUGGGAAGAUAAUGACGGUACCAGCAGAAGAAGCCCCGGCUAACUCCGUG